rnacentral:rRNA from 1 species
AUUGAACGCUGGCGGCAUGCCUAACACAUGCAAGUCGAACGAGUGGCGGACGGGUGAGAAAUGUAUGGGAACUGGCCCAUUGGGGGGGGAUAACUACUGGAAAGAUUGGCUAAUACCGCAUAGCAUCGGUGUGGCCUAGAUCUGAUUAGCUAGUGGGUGGUGUAAAGGCUCACCAAGGCCACGAUCCCUAGCUGGUUUGAGAGGGUGACCAGCCACACUGGGACUGAGAAACGGCCCAGACUCCUACGGGAGGCAGCAGUGGGGAAUAUUGCACAAUGGGGGCAACCCUGAUGCAGCCAUGCCGCGUGUAUGAAGAAGGCCUUCGGGUUGUAAAGUACUUUCAGCGGGGAGGCGUUACCCGCAGAAGAAGCACCGGCUAACUCCGUGCCAGCAGCCGCGGUAAUAC